rnacentral:rRNA from 1 species
AUGAAAGGUUCCUUCCAAUAUGCUUUGAAAUCACUUGAGCCUCUAGAACUGCCCAAGGUUACUCAUCCUCUUGAAAUCCUUGCUGCCCUUGAAAAGAUCCUAGACUUGGCUCAUUCAGACAUGUUGCGAGCAUAUGGUAAACUCAUCCUUAGUGAACGCUUAUUUCAAGCAUUUAUGGAGUUGCCCAUGGAGUUUAGGAAUGAAUGGUUGUUGAUGCUUAAUGAGAAGAACAACGUUUGA